GGGGGCGUCUUGGCUUUCGACGGGGGUAGGAGGAAUUCGGGAAGCGAGUCGUGGUGCUCGGAACCACGUUAAAAACCGGGAAUUAAAAAUAAACGCAAACGAUAAUUUAGCUUUAGCUGCCUAAUUAAAGGCGGUCGUCCUACCCAAGAGGCCCACGGCUUGGGAUAGGGCGUGGACUAGUGGGGAACGGGCCUAUCUAAGCUUUGCGAUAGGUCGGCAUCUAUGAAGCUACUGAAAUCCGAAUCCUGUCAGUGGGAGUCGGAUGGAGGGAAUGUCAAAACACUGACUGCACUCGGAGAUGCCUGGGUUUCACUGCCUUCGGACAGGGGUUCAACUCCCCUCGCCUCCACCA
rnacentral:tmRNA from 2 species